AGAUUGAACGCUGGCGGCAGGCCUAACACAUGCAAGUCGAGCGGCAGCACGGGUACUUGUAUCUGGUGGCGAGCGGCGGACGGGUGAGUAAUGCCUAGGAAUCUGCCUGGUAGUGGGGGAUAACGCUCGGAAACGGACGCUAAUACCGCAUACGUCCUACGGGAGAAAGCAGGGGACCUUCGGGCCUUGCGCUAUCAGAUGAGCCUAGGUCGGAUUAGCUAGUUGGUGGGUAAUGGCUCACAAGGCGACGAUCCGUAACUGGUCUGAGGAGGAUGAUCAGUCCACGACGUAGGAACCUGGAAGACCGUACGGUCCAGUACUCCCGUAGGGAGCCAGCGAGGUAGGGAAUAGUUAGAC
rnacentral:rRNA from 1 species